rnacentral:rRNA from 1 species
GACGAACGCUGGCGGCGUGCUUAACACAUGCAAGUCGAACGGAAAGGCCUGCUUUCCCUUGUGGAUUGCGGGUACUCGAGUGGCGAACGGGUGAGUAACACGUGAGUGAUCUGCCCCCAACUUGGGUAUAAGCCUGGGAAACUGGGUCUAAUUCCCGAUAGGACUGCAGGGUGGUGCCUGUGGUGGAAAACGAUUUUCUAGUGGUUGGGGAUGAGCUCGCGGCCUAUCAGCUUGUUGGUGGGGUAAUGGCCUACCAAGGCGGCGACGGGUAGCCGGCCUGGGAGGGUGGACGGGCACAUUGGGACUGGGAUACGGCCCAGACGCCUACGGGAGGCAGCAGUGGGGAAAAUUGGACAAUGGGCGGAAGCCUGAUGCAGCGACGCCGCGUGGGGGAUGACGGGCUUCGGGUUGUAAACUCCUUUCGACCGCGAGGAAGCCACCUGGUUGGAAGGGUGGUGACGGUAGUGGUAGAAGAAGCACCGGCUAACUACGUG